rnacentral:misc_RNA from 1 species
AUGCAGCCCGACCUGAGUGGAGCUCUUUUUCUGAUGGGGCAAUUCUUAUGACGUGAUGGGAUGUCAUCCCGUUUUGUAAUGGCAGAAAAAAGCGGGAACGGAGGGCGGAUAAAGC